rnacentral:rRNA from 1 species
UUAGUAUACAGUUUAUAUACCGUUGUUAUAAAAUAUUUUAUAAGAAUAAAAAUAUUUAAAAAUUUUAAUAGAAAAAAUAUAUCAGAUCAAGGUGUAACUUAUGUUUAAGAAGAAAUGGGUUACAAUAAAUUUAUUUAUGAUGGAUAUAAAAUUGAAAUUUUUUAUUAAAAUUGGAUUUAAUUGUAAAAU